rnacentral:lncRNA from 1 species
CUUAUUAACUCUUCCUACUCAGAGAGGUUAUAGAUGGAUACUAGUUUAAAAACACACAACCGAAGCCUCGGAAAGAAUGCAGCCGUAUUCGUGCCGACCCACCCGCACGCUAUGGGCCCUCUUCCUCAUUAUAGCCCCAGAGAGGACCAAGGUUCAUCUGCCAUGUGUCCAGCGCUGCGCCAGAGGUCACUUCUUCCAUUGCUGCAUCUGCAAAUGUAUGAGAGGUUCCCUGCAUGGCAUGUGUUGAGUCAUGGACACUAGAACCUGUUAUUAGUGUUUUAAAGAGUUAGGGUUUAGUAAGAAGUAACAGUGAGAUUUGAUUCUCUGUAUUUCUAGAUGAAUGGCUCCAUGUCAGGCAGUACCGACUGCAUUAAUGCACUCAUGGACUCCAUGCUUCAAGCCAUAUACUGGUCCGGAUUAAUUAACACAUUUACUGUUCUGUAUAAUCAGCAUAUAUGUCCUUGAGAGACACCGCAAAGCUGUAAAGCAAUGACUUGAAUGUGAUAAAGAGAAAGCCUCUUAUCUAAUCAUGAUGUGUUUAGGGUUCCAUGCUGAUUCCAUGUCUGGACUAUGAGACUGAACACGCUGCAGGAGAAUCAAAGCCAAUGCUCAGGACAAAGAGCAGAUGUUCGCUAGAUAACCUCUCUCUGGGCAAUCUUGGCACCCUAACCAGACAAGGAUUUCCUGGGUAAACUUCAAGUCGGCUGUGUUGGGAGGGAAUCACAAAGGCCGGGCUGAAGUUGAGCUUUGUGCAUAUGGACAUACACUAUGUCUCCCACAUAUAUAUCGGUGGGAUCAGGAACAGUAAAAGCUCAUUCCUAGAGCUAUAUGCAUACCUUAGUUGACUGCACAUCAAUCAUAGGCCUAUUUAACAGAUAGGAGAAAACAUGAUCAUAACUGUGAAGUCUGUCAGUGAUGCCAAGAUAUACAGUGUCUUCGGAAAGUAUUCAGACCCCUUAACUUUUUGUUAAGUUACAGCCUUAUUCUAAAAUGGAUUAAAUUGUGUUUUUUCUCAUCAAUCUACACACAGUACCACAUAAUGACAAAGCAAAAAUGUUUUUUUCUAAAAUUUUGUGAAGUUACAAUAAUUAAUCAUUUAAAAAAAUCACAUUAACAUAAGUGUUCAAACCCUUUACUUAGUACUUUGUUGAAGCACCUAUGGCAGUGACUACAGCCUCGAGUCUUCUUGGGUAUGACGCUACAAGCUUGGCACAUAUAUUUGGGGAGUUUCUCCCAUUCUUCUCUGCAGAUCCUAUCAAGCUCUGUCAGGUUGGGUGGGCAGCGUCACUACACAGCUAUUUUCAGGUCUCUAGAGAUGUUGGAUCGGGUUCAAGUCAGGGCUCUGGCUGGGCCACUCAAUGACAUUCAGAGAAUUGUCCCGAUGCCACUCCUGCAUGGUCUUGGC